CUACGGGAUGCUCCAGUCAAGAAUCUUCCGCAAUGCGCGAAAGCGUGACGGAGCGAUGCCGCGUGCAGGAAGACGCCCUUCGGGGUGUAAACUGCUUUUAUAAGGGAAGAAUUUGUGACGGUACCUUAUGAAUAAGAGGUUGCUAACUCUGUGCCAGCAGCAGCGGUAAUACAGAGACCUCGAGCGUUGUCCGGAUUCAUUGGGCGUAAAGCGUCCGCAGGUGGUUUUGUAAGUCAGUGGUCAAAUCCCGGUGCUUAACAUCGGGACUGCUAUUGAUACUGCGAAACUUGAGGCUGGGAGAGGCACGCGGAACUGUCGGUGUAGUAGUAAAAUGCGUUGAUAUCGACAGGAACACCAAAGGCGAAGGCAGCGUGCUGGAACAGUUCUGACACUCAUGGACGGAAGCGUGGGUAGCGAAUGGGAUUAGAUACCCGCGUAGUC
rnacentral:rRNA from 1 species